GGAUCUAUAGGGUAGAGGAUAUCCUCUUGGGCUUCGGACCCAAGGACGCGGGUUCGAUUCCCGCUAGGUCCA
rnacentral:tRNA from 1 species